GAUGAACGCUGGCGGCGUGCCUAAUACAUGCAAGUCGAGCGAACAGAUGAGGAGCUUGCUCCUCUGACGUUAGCGGCGGACUGGUGAGUAACACGUGGAUAACCUACCUAUAAGACUGGGAUAACUUCGGGAAACCGGAGCUAAUACCGGAUAAUAUAUUGAACCGCAUGGUUCAAUAGUGAAAGACGGUUUUGCUGUCACUUAUAGAUGGAUCCGCGCCGCAUUAGCUAGUUGGUAAGGUAACGGCUUACCAAGGCAACGAUGCGUAGCCGACCUGAGAGGGUGAACGGCCACACUGGAACUGAGACACGGUCCAGACUCCUACGGGAGGAAGCAGUAGGGAAUCUUCCGCAAUGGGCGAAAGCCUGACGGAGCAACGCCGCGUGAGUGAUGAAGGUCUUCGGAUCGUAAAACUCUGUUAUUAGGGAAGAACAAAUGUGUAAGUAACUAUGCACGUCUUGACGGUACCUAAUCAGAAAGCCACGGCUAACUACGUG
rnacentral:rRNA from 1 species